rnacentral:misc_RNA from 1 species
ACCGGGUCGACCCGCUUCAGUGAACGUGAUUCUUUUACAUUUUCAGGGUUUUCAAGCCUUUCGGGUGAUUUUGUGAUUUGAAAAGGCCCAUUGGAGUUGAGACCAGCCAAAAAUGGGCUCCACAUGUUGAUACAAUCAGCAGCAGAAAAUGGGUCUCCAAGUAUAUGGGCCCAACUCAAGCCCAGUGAUAUUCCUCCACAUUUGAACCUUGUUGCCUGUAAAUAAACAAGGGGAGAAAAGGAUAAUUCAGGACCA